GGACGGUAGCACAGAGAGCUUGCUCUUGGGUGACGAGUGGCGGACGGGUGAGUAAUGUCUGGGGAUCUGCCCGAUAGAGGGGGAUAACCACUGGAAACGGUGACUAAUACCGCAUAACGUCGCAAGACCAAAGAGGGGGACCUUCGGGCCUCUCACUAUCGGAUGAACCCAGAUGGGAUUAGCUAGUAGGCGGGGUAAUGGCCCACCUAGGCGACGAUCCCUAGCUGGUCUGAGAGGAUGACCAGCCACACUGGAACUGAGACACGGUCCAGACUCCUACGGGAGGCAGCAGUGGGGAAUAUUGCACAAUGGGCGCAAGCCUGAUGCAGCCAUGCCGCGUGUAUGAAGAAGGCCUUCGGGUUGUAAAGUACUUUCAGCGGGGAGGAAGGCGGUGAGGUUAAUAACCUUACCGAUUGACGUUACCCGCAGAAGAAGCACCGGCUAACUCCGUG
rnacentral:rRNA from 1 species